CCGGCACGGGUGAGUAACACGUAUCCAACCUGCCGUCUACUCUUGGACAGCCUUCUGAAAGGAAGAUUAAUACAAGAUGGCAUCAUGAGUCCGCAUGUUCACAUGAUUAAAGGUAUUCCGGUAGACGAUGGGGAUGCGUUCCAUUAGAUAGUAGGCGGGGUAACGGCCCACCUAGUCUUCGAUGGAUAGGGGUUCUGAGAGGAAGGUCCCCCACAUUGGAACUGAGACACGGCCCAA
rnacentral:rRNA from 1 species